UGGGGAAUAUUGGACAAUGGGGGCAACCCUGAUCCAGCAAUGCCGCGUGUGUGAAGAAGGUCUUCGGAUUGUAAAGCACUUUCGACGGGGACGAUGAUGACGGUACCCGUAGAAGAAGCCCCGGCUAACUUCGUGCCAGCAGCCGCGGUAAUACGAAGGGGGCUAGCGUUGCUCGGAAUGACUGGGCGUAAAGGGCGUGUAGGCGGUUUACACAGUCAGAUGUGAAAUCCCCGGGCUUAACCUGGGAGCUGCAUUUGAUACGUGUAGACUAGAGUGUGAGAGAGGGUUGUGGAAUUCCCAGUGUAGAGGUGAAAUUCGUAGAUAUUGGGAAGAACAUCGGUGGCGAAGGCGGCAACCUGGCUCAUGACUGACGCUGAGGCGCGAAAGCGUGGGGAGCAAACAGGAUUAGAUACCCUGGUAGUCCACGCUGUAAACGAUGUGUGCUAGAUGUUGGGUAACUUUGUUAUUCAGUGUCGCAGUUAACGCGUUAAGCACACCGCCUGGGGAGUACGGCCGCAAGGUUGAAAC
rnacentral:rRNA from 1 species